AAAACAGGAGGUUUUCCCCAUGGACCGACCCAUGACGAGAUCCUAUUCUCGGGCCCUCAACAGAGAGGCUCCUUUGAAUGACCUCUUUAUGUUCUUAUUCAUUGUCUCUUGAUAUAAAAAAGAGCCUGUGUCAAAAUUCUUAACCCUCUAGCAUCUCCUUUGUUAUCAAUUUGGGACUUUGGGUUCUAUAGAGGCUUUAGGGAUGGGGAGAUUGAGAGUCUAACCAACCUUCUAAGUCUUCUUGAAAAACGUCUAUUUGGACCCCUUUGAGCUAGACAAAAGGAUUUGGACACCUCUACCCUUUGGUCAUUUCUCUUGUGCUUCCUUCUUUAAGGCCCUUUGUCGUUCUUCAUUCCAAUAAGUUUUCCCCUUUAAGGAAGUUUGGUGUAGGCCUGUUCCCCCUAUGGUGUUGGCAUUCUGUUAGUAAGUGUUCUAUGGGAAAGUUAACACCUUGGAUAAUCUACAAAAGAGAAGAUCUAUACUUUGCAUCUCACCUAAUUGGUGUACUCUUUGCAGGUCUCAUGGUGAGGAUUGUUACCAUUUACUAAUCUCCUGUUCUGUGACAGUAGAGUUGUGAUAUUGGCUCUUCUUGAUCUUUGGGUGUAGGUGGAAUAGGCCAGCAGAGGUAAGCAUUUUCUUUGAUCCUUUUUUCUUUACUUGGCGCCAUCGAAGAGGAAGUAUUAUGUAGAGGUGUGCAAGGGCAUCUUUGUUAUGGAAAGUGUGGGAAGAAAGGAAUGCCAGGAUUUUCCAAGAUAGCAAGAGAUGGAGUGUAUUUUGUAUAGGGCUAUCUUGUGGCUGAAAGUCCUGGACUUAUUUCUUUAAUUUUCAUUUAAUGAUCUCUAGAGGAAUUGGGCAGUAGUGACAAGCUGCUCCCCUGUGAAGGUGCGUUUGAGUUGGGCACCACCUCCUGAAGGUUUCUUGAAACUGAAUUUUGAUGGCAGCAGUCAAGGUAAUCCAGGUCCAUCUAGGAUGGGAGAGGUUCUAAGCAAUGAAAGUGGAAAUGUGACUCUCUUAUAUCAGGCCCAUUAGGCGCCGGGGACUCCACUAGGGUGGAACUACUAGCUGCCCUUCAAGGGGUGCAGUUUGCAGCACAGAUAGGAGUGGAAAAGCUAAUAAUAGAAGGUGACUCCAAGGUGGUUGUGGGGUGGCUUAGAACCCAGAAACUGUGAUAUGGUAUUUUAAUAAUGAACUUAAGAAAUGCAAGUGGCUGACAAGAAAUCCGUGUCAGAAUACAAUUGGUGGGGAGUCAGCUAUUGGGGUCUGUUUUGUAACUAUUGGGGUCUGUUUUGUAACAAUAGUAUGUGCCCUAUUGGGGUCUGUUUUGUAACUUGGGCAUUUCUAGUUUUAAUAUAAAACAACUUUCUCAUUUGAGAGAGACAUGUAGGAGUAACUUUGCCCUAACUCUCUCUCUUAUAACUCUUCCAUCUUUCUCUUUUUCUAACCUUAUUUCAAUGAAAAAAGAAUAUUCUUGACCUUAAUGACUUGCUGUUACCGAUUCUCCCAGAAUUUGAAUACAUUUUUAAGUCCCUGAAAGACUUAAGGCUACUUGCCUUAUUUCUUACAUUGAAAUGAUCUUAAUAGAGCAUUGUAUUGAACCUUUCAAGUUAUACAACUUCCUUGUAAAUUAAGCUUUUGACUCCUUAAUCCUUCAAUCCCACAGAUUUCCAUUUUUUACUAGACCUUUUCUUGGGUAUUGUUUCCUGAUUUUUUUCCCAUUGACUGAGGUUGCAGAAUAAGACACCCUCUUUUUUGUUUUCUUUUCAGACCAUUGGCUACAUGGCUCCAUUAGUGCCCUCAGGUUGGAGAAAAGCUCAAACUUGAGUUUUAGUACUGUUAUGUAUCAUAGCAUGAUUUUGUGCCCUUUGGUACUGAGGAUUUCUUGAUUUGUUGCUUCUUAUGUUUAUUCUCAUGUUUAAGUGAAGGCUGCUAUUCUAUCUCAUACAAAACAUCUGUGGUUACUUAAGCAUCAUAUCCUUGUCCUUACCCUUAGUUGGAACUUGGAACCAAAUUGAUCUUUCUUUCAUGUUUGUUUAUUUUAUAGGUAUUUUUCCUACAUGUUCGAGAAAUAGCUCUAUCAAAUUUCCAUGGGUGCCCUGACAAAAUAUCACAUACUUCUAAUAGAAGAACAUCAGACCAAAUUUUGUCAUUUCAUCUAAUUAAAAAUUAAAUUAAACAUUUAUAAUUGAACUUUUAGUGCAUUUCCCUCCUAACCAUCCCACUAGAUAAGGUUUAGGAACAAGCUAGGCCUUCAGCCACAACAUAGUGGUAAACUAUUUGGAGAUAAAAUUACUUCCAUAUCUGGUAUCAAUGACAAUGCCAUAGCUUUUGCACUUUACCUUCCCCCAAGUUCUGUAGAUUAUGUUAUGUCAUGCAGAAAGAGUUUCUUUUUUUAUUUUUUGAUGAAUUCAUUCAGGAAGAGAUUCAUGAAUUCAUUCUUUCUUUGAUCCUUGGGCCUCAGCAACCAUUAAAACCUAUAUGCUAUUACCAUGUGUAACCUUAUUAGUUUUGUAAUAACUUUGCCUUCACUACUGUGCUUUUCUUUCUCUUCAUCUUUGUUUGUUGUUAAUUUUCUUUGAUUAGAUAUAUGCCAUGGUUGUGGAUACUGAAAACACAUUCUUUUAGUCUUCUUGCACUAAAAGACUACUCUUAUUCUUUUCCAUAUUGCUCUUUGGUGGUUCUUCUUGGAGGCCACCUCCAUUCUUUUCCAUAUUGCAUUUUGGUGGUUCCAACUAAAGAAUCAAACUUAUCAUACUUUUUUAUUGGGUCCAUGAUCAUAGUUUAGCUUACAAAAUCAUACCUAUGAAUUCAGUUUCCUUCUUCAGUUGAUGGAGCUGUGAAGAAAAUGCAGAUGGAGGUUGAUCUGUAAUAUACAAAUUUGUUUUUUAUUUAGUGUUUGGUCAUUUCAAGGCUAUCCAUUGUAUAGUUCCUGCUAUCUAGCCUGGACUGGUUAGAGUCACUGGUUUUAUGGCAAUUAAUGCACAUGUCUUUGUUAAUUAUCAAAAAAGAAAAAUAGUCAAAAAUAUGCUUCUGUUAUGAUUAUUCCAUUCAUAUAUUCUCACCACAUAAUAUGUAGUCAUUUCUUAUGCAUAUUCCUGUACUUCAUCACAUUUUGUUUUGUUUUUCUUGGAAGAAAAGAAGUCUCAUGAGGCUGGAAACCUCACUCAUCUUUAGGCCCUAGUGCCUCACCUCGCACUUUUCAGUUACCCCUUUUAGUUCUUUGAGAAGUGGGCAGCACCAAUAAUUUCUUGACAAGACCCACUACAGAUGGACAUUUGGGUUAUGACAAGGAAGUACUAAAGCUGACAAUGCUUAUGCAUGAACCUAUAUUCAGAAAGCAGUGGUGUCCACCACUUUUGGGGGGUUUCCGGGCAUUGAAGAGGCUUGUAAAGCUUCAGGCGCCAGUAAGGGGCCACAAUGUUAGAAAGGGGAUGACAUAGCAGUUAAGGUGUUUGCAGGCAUUAGUAAAAGCCCAGGCAUGAUCUCGAGCAGGUUGCCUCCUUGGUUCUGAUACAUGGCAUACUUACAACAAGUGCUCACUGCAUGUUUCACCACCUUGGAGGGCUGAUGCAAACUCAUGAUGAGGAAACCUACAAUUUUCUCAAGUACUCUUCAGUCAAAGUUUUAUUUUGUCUCCGAUCUGCUGGGAAAAAACAUAGCUAGGCCAAACAGCAGGAAGGACGACAAUGUUGAGAUUAAUAGGGAGAUGAAGUGCGUUUGACAAGAACCAAUAUGACAAACUAGGACAGAGGAUCCUCUUUUCAUUGAAUAUAGCAGCUCCAACUGACAUUGAAGAUCGGAAUUUUCAUGACCAUUGAUGAUUUCACUUCACCUGAGAAUAUGAGAAAACACACCAGGGAAAAAAUAGCAGCAGCCGGUAAUGUUAUGUGCAGUGACAACCCCUCCCCUCCAUCCCAAAUAUAGAAGGGUAGGUAUUCAAAGUGUACAGACCUAAAAGAAGAAACGGGGAGGGAUCAUUGACAGAGGGAAAAUGGAGUGAGUAUUGAGAGAAAUCCCUCUCUUCUCCAAAAAGCUAAAGGCUGAUAGUUGACAAUUUUUUCUUGAUAUCACAUAUAUUAUAUAUAAUUUAUAUUUAAACUGCAUUUAUAAUUGGUUGAUUGAAUAUUUAACGAAUUGAAUCUACUUUAUUUGAUUUGAUUUAAUUAUGUUUAAUUCGAAUUCGGAUUUUUGAAUACUGUUUACACCCCUAACUAUAAUAAGGUUUGGAUUUGAUGCAAAUCCAAUCCAAGUAUUGAAAACCUUGAAUCCAAUUCGAUUGAAUACAUGUGUCUUAGCUCUGAUUUGGAUCCCAUUGGACUGGGAUCGGAUUUGGGUUAAUCCGAGUCUGUUUUCAUCUUUAAAAUAAAUCAAAUGGUCAUUUGCUAAGACACACCUUAUAGUUUCACCUGUUUACUUAAAUCACCUUCUGUCAAUGACCGCUUAAAUUUUCGUUUAACAAUUGUCAUGUGACCUCUUAAAAUACAUUUUAAUUCCAAAAAUGCCCCUAACAAGUCUUAAGUCGCCACAUUUUUUCACAGCUCAUAUCAAUUGGUUUCCAUAUCUACCCAAAACCAAAAUGGAGAAUACAAAGAAACAAAUAAAAUUUCCAAUAGAACACUUGAACUCGUGAACGAAACAAACUCAAGAACAAAAACUAGAAGAUUAUAAUACUUGCAUGGUAAAAAAAAGAACCAUAUUCAUUAGAACAGGAACAAGGCUAUCUUACACAAAGCAAUUAUAAAAAUGCGAUCUGCAUGUAAUGAGAGAUAGAAAGAAGAGAAGCUUUGGAAGAGAUAUUUAAAACACCAACAUUUUCUCUAAUCGAAAUGAUAAACCCAAGUCCUAUUCAGCGUUAUGAUGAGUUUGGCCAUCUCUAACUUCAUUUAUUGAUUAAAUUUGGAUUGGGCUUCCUCAUCUUAUCUUUUGCCAUCACUGUAGUAUUUUCAUUUCUUGAGGUUUGGCUGGAAAAGGGUUGAAGUUAUCAUUCAAUAUUGAGCUCUUUUCAUUUCUUGUUGCAAGGGACGGAUCUCUUGGUCCCUUUUGAGAUUUUCAACAUUCACACCACACCUGAAAAUUUGUCAAUCUUGAACGUAUUUCUUGUUCUCUUUGAAUUCAUUUUGAGUUUUUUCUCAAGGUCACGUUUGUUUGAGGUGGAAAAUCGAACCGGGGUAAACUUUAUACCCAGUUCGAUUUUAUUACAGGUGUUUGGUAAUAUUGCCUCAUGAAUCGAUGUAAAAGUCCAUUCUCGCCRAUAUUUACAUUGAAAAUCAAUGAAAAGUUUACAUUGAUUCUCUCCAUCCAUUGAUCUUUAUACAAAGAGUCGAAGAGAGGGUGAGAAGACCUCAUCUCCUCUGAUCGUGAAGACCUCCUCCAUCCAAUGGUUUCCGUCCAAAGAAGAGCCCGUCGUCCGUUAACAUCCGAUCACCAAUGGAGUUAGCAGAGAGAAACUCAAAAUCUACAUUGCUUACCGACAUCUUUUCCCGUUCUAUGUCAAGCUUCUUUGGCGACUCAGAGCACGAGCUUAUGGAGAUGAAAUCAUUGUCGUCGAUGAAGUCAAUGGAGAAAGAGGUCCGCGGGCUUGAUGUUGGCUCCAUAGAGUUUUAGAGUAGAUCUCCUUCCAAAUCGAGCCUAAGGCAAAGGGUUUGGGUUUCCUACACUAAGGUCGGCUCUAGUCUUUGGGUUUAUUUAUUUAACAGACCGAACUGCCUCACCUGCAAACCUUCAUCUCUAAUCGUUGGAAAAUAUUUUUCGACUCUGCCAGCUCCUCCUCAAUUCGUCUCUGGUGCUCAUUGCAUUCUGCGACUCGCUGUCGGAAAUACCGAAUCCUCUUGAGGCUGGCCGAAACUGCCAGCCCCAUCUCUGCCAUCCUUCCUUACAUAUUUGUAUUCUCAUCCUGUGAUUCUUUCAGCUUCUUCGUCAAGAAUCAAUACCCAUCUAAGGAUUUAAGGAGAUUCUCUAAGAGAAGCUUGUUAUGCUCUUGCAGCGCAGCAACAUUCCCUUCACCAUCUCCUCUUCUACAGUUGUAGGGUUCCAAGAGCAACCACUUACCCUACUAUUAUCUCCUUCCCCAAGCUUGAGAACAUCCAUUCCAAGCUUGUCUGUGCUACUAUGCUCGCACUGAGUUUUAGAGUAGAGCAGGGUUUCAGAGUUUCAGAACGUAGUUUCACUUUUACAUCGAAACAACCAAACAACAUGAGACAAAAUUUCCAAAACACCCUGAUUCAAUUUUCCAUCGACUACUAAAUUAGGAUCAAAAUUUCCAUCGAUGUAAAUUUGAAUUUACACUUGAAACAAAUGCAUCGCAAAGACAAAUAUUAAUUUUUCCUUUUGAGGGUGUUUGUUUAUUGUUUUACAAAUCUUACUAUUUACAAGCGUUGGGUUAAUUCCUAGGGAAUACUUCUUGGGAAGAAUGAUCAUUCAGACCAGGGUCAGAUUUCACAGGCCCAAAGUACAGUUCGGUAGGUGUCAACUCAAAAUUGAUGCCAAAUCACGAACAGGUGUAAGUGCAUAAUGUGUAGGUUUUUGAAAUAUAAGUGCAUAAUGUGUGGGUUUUUGAAAAUUUGAAUGUUUAUAGAACUGUGUAAAAUUCUGCUGUCCGUACUUCUCCGACUCCGUUUUCAUCAUGUUCUAUUAAUUUGACUUCAUGGAUAUUACCUCUCCGCACAUCCUUGAAUCCCGAUAUCGUCGCAAGUCUCUUUUGAGGAAAAAUGUAUCAAAUUCUAGGUUUUCUUCGUUUCUUUCUUUUCGAUCUUUUGAGUCCCGCUUGAUGGAGGGAUAGAUCAUGUCGAUUUGUUGUUAAUGCGAGUAAUGUGUUCUGUCAUGCUAGUUAGACAGCGCUUACUUGAGAAAAAUUCAUCCAUCACCUACAGUUCUCAUACCUGCUCUUCGAACAGUUGGAAACAUUGUCACAGGAGAUGAUGCUCAGACUCAGUUCUACAGACUGCCUGAAACAACAUUUUCUCUCCAAUCUGAUGUUGACUGGACAACAGUUUUGUGAAGAAGACUGGUCAGCACUCAAAAAGAAAUACAGUAGCCUUUCUGAGGAUUAUUUGCUGCGGUAUUGCUUCUCUUCAUCUUAUAUUGUGGCUCUACUGCAUGAUACUCUUGGAAUUUCAUUGGAUGAUCAAAGGCUGAUGUGGAUGGAAAUGGAACAAUCAGUUAUGUUGAAGUUAUUACUGCAACCAUGCAUAGGCACAAGCUAGAAAGAGACGAACAUCUAUAUAAAGCCUUCCAGCAUUUUGAUAAAGAUCAGAGCGGAUACAUUUGUGAUAGGAUGAUUGGGCUGCUAAUUCUAUGCCGUUUGGAAGCUCCAUAGUUCCUAUUCAAAAAGAAUAGUUGUCGUUGGCGUGAAGAGGAGAGAGAAACUGGCUUACUUGGUAGAAGAGACCGUUGUAUUUGCAUUGAUGGUGGGAGUAGCUGGUUGUUUUUAUGUUGUUAUUUUUUGCCAAGAUGCCCAUUGUAUGCCCGGGCAGCUUGUUAAUUUUUAUAUUUGUUUAAUGGUGGGAGUAGCUGGAACAACAUUUGGUAGCGAGAAACAAUUGUAUUUGCAUUGAUGGAAAUGCCAAACAUCCACAAAAAUUGUAUUCUUA